rnacentral:rRNA from 1 species
UACAGAGGUCUCAAGCGUUGUUCGGAUUCAUUGGGCGUAAAGGGUGCGUAGGUGGCGUGGUAAGUCGGGUGUGAAAUUUCGGAGCUUAACUCCGAAACUGCAUUCGAUACUGCUGUGCUUGAGGACUGGAGAGGAGACUGGAAUUUACGGUGUAGCAGUGAAAUGCGUAGAGAUCGUAAGGAAGACCAGUGGCGAAGGCGGGUCUCUGGACAGUUCCUGACACUGAGGCACGAAGGCCAGGGGAGCAAACAGG